rnacentral:rRNA from 1 species
AACAAACGCUGGCGGCGUGCCUAAUACAUGCAAGUCGAACGGGGAAAGCUUUCGGGUGAGUACUAGUGGCGCACGGGCGAGUAACGCGUGGAUAAUCUGCCUUAGAGUGGGGGAUAACUAGUCGAAAGAUUAGCUAAUACCGCAUAAGACCACAAGAACUGCGGUUCAAGGGGUCAAAGGUUUUUCGCUCUAAGAUGAGUCCGCGUAAGAUUAGCUAGUUGGUAGGGUAACGGCCUACCAAGGCGACGAUCUUUAACUGGUCUGAGAGGAUGAUCAGUCACACUGGAACUGAGACACGGUCCAGACUCCUACGGGAGGCAGCAGUAGGGAAUAUUGCACAAUGGAGGAAACUCUGAUGCAGCGACGCCGCGUGAGUGAUGAAGGCCUUCGGGUCGUAAAGCUCUGUCGCAGGGGAAUAACACAAUGAAGGUACCCUGUAAGAAAGGAUCGGCUAACUUCGUGCCAGCAGCCGCUGUAAGAC